GAUGAACGCUAGCUACAGGCUUAACACAUGCAAGUCGUGGGGCAGCGGAUACUUAGCUUGCUAAGUAUGCCGGCGACCGGCGCACGGGUGAGUAACGCGUACCGAACCUGCCCAUCACACAGGGAUAGGCUUGCGAAAGCAAGAUUAAUACCUGAUGGUCUCAGUUGUAUGCAUGUAUGAUUGAGUAAAGCCUUCGGGCGGUGAUGGAUGGCGGUGCGUCCCAUUAGGAAGUUGGCGGGGUAACGGCUCACCAAUCCUUCGAUGGGUAGGGGUUCUGAGAGGAAGGUCCCCCGCAUUGGAACUGAGAUACGGUCCAAACUCCUACGGGAGGCAGCAGUGAGGAAUAUUGGUCAAUGGGCGAGAGCCUGAACCAGCCAAGUAGCGUGCGGGAUGAAGGCCCUUGUGGUCGUAAACCGCUUUUAUCAGUGAAUAAAGUGCAUCACGUGUGGUGUCAUUGCAGGUAGCUGAAGAAAAAGGACCGGCUAAUUCCGUGCCAGCAGCCGCGGUAAUACGGAAGGUCCGGGCGUUAUCCGGAAUUAUUGGGUUUAAAGGGAGCGCAGGCGGGAGUGUAAGUCAGCUGUUAAAUAUCAGGGCCCAACUCUGUUAUGCAGUUGAAACUAUAUUUCUUGAGUACGCACAGGGAUGGCGGAAUUCAGGGUGUAGCGGUGAAAUGCUUAGAUAUCCUGAAGAACUCCGAUCGCGAAGGCAGCCAUCCGGAGCGUAACUGACGCUGAGGCUCGAAGGUGCGGGUAUCGAACAGGAUUAGAUACCCUGGUAGUCCGCACGGUAAACGAUGAAUACUCGCAGUUCGGCCGUUUAGGUCGAGUUGUCCAGCGAAAGCGUUAAGUAUUCCACCUGGGGAGUACGCCGGCAACGGUGAAACUCAAAGGAAUUGACGGGGGCCCGCACAAGCGGAGGAACAUGUGGUUUAAUUCGAUGAUACGCGAGGAACCUUACCCGGGCUUGAACCAAGAGUGACGAGUGCAGAGAUGCGCUUAUUCUUCGU
rnacentral:rRNA from 1 species